UACGUAGGUGGCAAGCGUUAUCCGGAAUUAUUGGGCGUAAAGAGCGCGCAGGUGGUUGAUUAAGUCUGAUGUGAAAGCCCACGGCUUAACCGUGGAGGGUCAUUGGAAACUGGUCGACUUGAGUGCAGAAGAGGGAAGUGGAAUUCCAUGUGUAGCGGUGAAAUGCGUAGAUAUAUGGAGGAACACCAGUGGCGAAGGCGGCUCGCUGGCUCGACACUGACGCUGAGGUGCGAAAGCGUGGGGAGCAAACAGGAUUA
rnacentral:rRNA from 1 species